GAUGAACGCUGGCGGCGUGCCUAAUACAUGCAAGUCGAGCGAACAGACGAGGAGCUUGCUCCUCUGACGUUAGCGGCGGACGGGUGAGUAACACGUGGAUAACCUACCUAUAAGACUGGGAUAACUUCGGGAAACCGGAGCUAAUACCGGAUAAUAUAUUGAACCGCAUGGUUCAAUAGUGAAAGACGGUUUUGCUGUCACUUAUAGAUGGAUCCGCGCCGCAUUAGCUAGUUGGUAAGGUAACGGCUUACCAAGGCAACGAUGCGUAGCCGACCUGAGAGGGUGAUCGGCCACACUGGAACUGAGACACGGUCCAGACUCCUACGGGAGGCAGCAGUAGGGAAUCUUCCGCAAUGGGCGAAAGCUUGACGGAGCAACGCCGCGUGAGUGAUGAAGGUCUUCUGAUCGUAAAACUCUGUUAUUAGGGAAGAACAAAUGUGUAAGUAACUAUGCACGUCUUGACGGUACCUAAUCAGAAAGCCACGGCUAACUACGUG
rnacentral:rRNA from 1 species